UGAGAAGAAUGUGUAUUCUGCAGCUUUUAGAUGGAAUGUUCUGUAUAUGUCUGUUAGGUCCAGUUGGUCUAAAGUAUAGUUCAAAACCAGUGUUUCCUAAUGGAUUUUCUAUCUGGCUGAUCCCUCCAAUGUUGAAAGUGGGGUACUGAAGUCCCCUGCUUUUAAUGUAUUGUUGUCUAUUUCUCCUUUCAGAUGUUACUAUUUUCUUAAUAUAUGGUAGGAGAUUGAACCCUGGGAUCUAUCAAUAGAAGACAAAUGAAGCAUGGCAAUGAAAAGAGAACCUGCCUACCAGUCCAUCUAUCUCUCCUAAAGAAAGUGCUGGGCAGUAAUGCCAAAUUCUAUCAAUAUUCCAUUUAUUUUAGCCAUGGUACAUGAGCAGCAAACUGAUCUACUCAACUCUCAGUCUUCACAGGAGGCAGUAGACACAGCAAUAUAACCAGAUUCUUUGCUGCACUAACAGGCAUGAAGGAAUGACCACUUCCAGCUACCUCUCAAGAGAGAAACAGGCCGCACCCACCUACCUCACUCCCCACUCCUUAUCCAGGGACUCCUGUGAGUGCUGAACUGGCUCUACCAGCCAACACCAACAGCAGCAGUGGCAUGCAAAACAUUUAUUGAAUGAAGUGAACAAGGACUGGUUGGCAACCACUUUGUGCCUAACCUACUGGUAUCCUGGGAGUCAAGGAAGGAAGGAGUGGGGAGGAGAUUCUUAAAAUAUACAGAGAAAUUUACAACAACACUGUUGGGCUCUCAGAUUGAGCUGGUCCUGCUAACACACUGCAUGAUAUAUAAGCACAUGCAUUUCUGUUUGCUCAGUAAACCCUAUAUGUUGUGUGACAUGAAAUACCCCAGCAUUUAGUUUCUCCCCUCUUUAAUCCACCUGCAGCACUGCAGCCAGUGUAAUCUUAAAUCCACAGAUCUAAUUGUUGCCUUUCCUCUACUUUAAAAACACUCCUUGUUCACAGCAGUAGCUUCCUGUUGAUAAUGAGAAUCAGCUGUGGAACAUUUUUAAAAAUGCAAAUUCCCCAACUAUAUCCCAGAGAUCCUGAUUCCAGGGUUGUAGAGUGGGGCUUAGAAACCUGUAUUUUUCAGUUAUGAGCUGUGUUUGAGCUCUGCUCCUUUAUAGUUCUUCCAAGUGUUUUUGCAUCUGUAGUUCAUGUAAAUCACACAUUAACUUCUGAAACAGGGCCACGAGACUAGUUUUGACAAACACUGAGCAGAAGUGAUGUAUGUGUUUUACACUCACCUGUGUAAAGAACAGCUUCUGUGUAAAACAGCCAAUGUUUUGCACCCCAGAUGCCUCUGCCCCUGCCUCAGCAACCAAGGACAUUCACUACCUGCUCCAGAUGGUGCAGCUACGAGAUGGUGGAACCAUCUCCAACAACCUGGAUCUUUGAAGAAACUAUGUGGAUCAGAGCCCCUCCCCCCAAUUUCAACCUCAGUUGGACAUGUAAUAUGAGCAAGAAAUAAACAAUUAUUAUAGCAAGCCA